rnacentral:rRNA from 1 species
UGGGGAAUAUUGCGCAAUGGGGGAAACCCUGACGCAGCGACGCCGCGUGGAGGAAGAAGGUCUUCGGAUUGUAAACUCUUGUCGACAGGGACGAAAUAAGACGGUACCUGUGGAGGAAGCCCCGGCUAACUACGUGCCAGCAGCCGCGGUAAUACGUAGGGGGCUAGCGUUGUCCGGAAUUACUGGGUGUAAAGGGCGUGUAGGCGGGAUAUUAAGUCAGGUGUGAAAACCCGGGGCUCAACUUCGGGACUGCAUCUGAAACUAAUAUUCUUGAGUGCAGGAGAGGAAAGCGGAAUUCCAAGUGUAGCGGUGAAAUGCGUAGAUAUUUGGAGGAACACCAGUGGCGAAGGCGGCUUUCUGGACUGUAACUGACGCUGAGGCGCGAAAGCGUGGGGAGCAAACAGG